AACUUGUUUGCCCAAUCUACUUCUGAUAAGUAGAUCCUUAUGAUGUUUUAACUCUUGUGUAUUGUUUGAUCUGUGAAAGUACAGGGUGUGCCAGGUCUUCCGGGGCCAGUUGGAGGUUGGAGGGUGAUUGAUCUGUGGACUGUCUGAUGGGGAUGAAUUGUACGCAGAACGCUUGGAUGCUCAGGCAUGAGGGGUUUGAUCGAAGGAACUCGAAUCCAGUCACUGUAGGCGCGCUAUGUGCUUCAGCUCUCAUUGGAUAAACUGUCUACCAUACAGAGAAUGGCCAGUGUGUGGCUGCUGUGGUGGAGACUAAAUGCCGUUUAGUGUUGCUCGUGCUCAUCUAUGGCUACUAUGAAUUAAGUUCGAGGAACAGUUAGCUUGCUGGCAAGUUGGCCCUCGAAGUAUACUGCAUCUACUUGUGUUGCAUCGUUUGCGUUUGCUGUCGGCGACAGCACGUUAUAAUCCUCGUUCUGUGAGGAAGUUUUACUUCCAUAUAUCACUAUAUGAUUUGAACAAUUUGUUUUGGUCUGUGUUGUCCGGUACCGGUAAACUCAACCUUUUUUGUGCAAUAAGUUUCUUGUUACCUUGUCGUAUGCAAUGUCCGAUUGAAUAAUUUGUUUUGGUCUUUGUUGUCCGGUACCGGUAAACUCAACCUUUUUUGUGCAAUAAGUUUCUUGUUACCUUGUCGUAUGCAAUGUCCGAUUGAAUACCAAUAUGGUUUCCUAAUGAGCUUGCUUGUGUGCUGCAUCCUUUUUUUAUUUGUGUCUUCAAGCUGUCUGCCUGACGUUGCAUUAAAGGUGCAUCAGAACCCUGUAGAUGGUAGGUGUAUAUGUGUUCCAUAGCCAUUAUCUUGCAUCGUAGUUUUUCACGCGAAGUCGUUGAAUUUUGGUUAGUGACCUAAGAAAACGGAUAUGGAUCAUCCACUAUGGGCUCAGAACUUGCUGGUGUAGGGACGCAUUCUGUCCGGAUGAGUGUUCCUUUUUUUUUUGUCCGC
rnacentral:lncRNA from 1 species